UACAGAGGUGGCAAGCGUUGUUCGGAAUUACUGGGCGUAAAGGGCGCGUAGGCGGCUUUUCAAGUGACGGGUGAAAUCCCUCGGCUUAACCGAGGAACUGCCUGUCAGACUGGAAGGCUUGAGACCGGGAGAGGUGAGUGGAAUUCCCAGUGUAGCGGUGAAAUGCGUAGAUAUUGGGAGGAACACCAGUGGCGAAGGCGGCUCACUGGACCGGAACUGACGCUGAGGCGCGAA
rnacentral:rRNA from 1 species